GUAGAAAUGGAGGCGGUGCAGUUGAGGUUGGUGUUGUUUUGGAGAAGCCACAAAUGGAAGCUUUUUCUUCUCUCUUCGUUAAUGGCCUUAACUGAGUUUAUCAUAUUUUUGAGUUUUUUUCUCUUCAUUCUAUUCUCCUAUGAUGAGAUUGUGAUGGUAUACUCGUUAUUCUAUUCUACUAUGAUGAGAUUGUGAUGGUCUCUUCAUUCUAUUCUUCGCACGCAGUCUCUUUUCUUAGUAAACCUAUUACAAUCUUAUUACAUAUUAUAUAUUUGUAGAUCAAAAGUAUUAAAAAAUAAUUAAAGACUUGAGGUUAUUCUCUUAUUUGAUAAGUAUCUAAUUAGUGUAAAUGUCAGUUGUUAC
rnacentral:lncRNA from 1 species